ensembl:snRNA U2 U2 spliceosomal RNA
AUCGCUUCUCGGCCUUUUGGCUGAGAGCAAGUGUAGUACGGUUCUCACCAAUUUAAUGUCUGAUAUGUCCUCUAUUCGAGGCAGUAUAUUAAACAGAUGUUUGGAGCAGAGAGUUGGAAUAGGCGCUGGCUCCACCCACUCCACACAUCAGCCUGGUAUUGCAGUACGUCCAGGAACGGUGCGCCCCCU